CCUACGGGCGGCAGCAGUGGGGAAUAUUGCACAAUGGGCGAAAGCCUGAUGCAGCAACGCCGCGUGAGCGAUGAAGGCCUUCGGGUCGUAAAGCUCUGUCCUCAAGGAAGAUAAUGACGGUACUUGAGGAGGAAGCCCCGGCUAACUACGUGCCAGCAGCCGCGGUAAUACGUAGGGGGCUAGCGGUAUACGGAAUUACUGGUCGUAAAGGGUGCGUAGGUGGUUUCUUAAGUCAGAGGUGAAAGGCUGCGGCGCAACCGUAGUAAGCCUUUGAAAAUGGGAAACUUGAGUGGAGGAGAGGAGAGUGGAAUUCCUAGUGUAGCGGUGAAAUGCAUAGAUAUUAGGUGGAACACCAGUUGCGAAGGCAGCUCACUGGACUGCAACUGACACUGAGGCUCGAAAGUGUGGGGAUCAAACAGGAUUAGAUACCCCGGUAGUC
rnacentral:rRNA from 1 species